GUGGGUGUGGUGUAUGGUACACAGCUGCUUGAUGUAAGUAAUGUUGAUACAAUUAAAGCAGCAGACCUGGGUUUGACUCCCAGUGCCCGCA